ensembl:lncRNA
GUUCACUUCGCAAUUCACAGCUGCCAGGAAAUUGGAAAUGGCUUGGUCAUAAAGCUGCUUCACCGGAAUGGGAAUUGACUGCUGUUUACAUUGUUUGGAAUUUAUGCGUAAUAUGAAGAAAAGGGACUGCUUUAACCUUGUCAGGGUUGUGGUGGAUCCAUAGCCUAUCCUGGGAACACCUAUCCUGAGUAUGAGGCAGGAAUAAACCAAGGAUCAGACACGACACCAGUCCGUUGCAAGGCACUAUGCACACAUGCUCACACACUCAUUUACAUGUAGGACUAAUUUAGUAUAGCCAAUGUACCUAACCGCAUUGUUUUUUUUUUAGAGAAAACUGGAAAACCCAGAGGAAACCCAUGCAGGCAUGAAGAGAACACAUGAAACUAUAUACAGACAGGAAUCUGAGUUCAGGAUCAAAUCGGGGACAUUGAAGCUGUGAAGUGAGCAAGCACAAGAGCAAAAAGAGCAAGUGAUACUGAAAGGACUCACUGCAUUAUUCUUGUUAAAGUUCAGCUGUCAUGCUCCAUCAAAACAGCCAUUUUUGAUAAUUGACUACUUUAUCACAUGGAUUCAACAGAAAAUACUCAACACCUAAUGCUGUCACUCCUGAUCACCUUCUUCACCAGCUAAUUAAACAACAACAACAACAGCAGCAAAAGUAAACUCUGCAUGUGGGUUGUACUCUGUGUGUCCAUGCAUUGAAGCUUC